CCUACGGGUGGCAGCAGUGGGGAAUAUUGGGCAAUGGAGGCAACUCUGACCCAGCAACGCCGCGUGAAUGAUGAAGGUCUUCGGAUUGUAAAGUUCUGUGUUUGAGGAUGAACACAAUGACGGUACUCCAUUAGCAAGCCACGGCUAACUACGUGCCAGCAGCCGCGGCAAUACGGAGGUGGCAAGCGUUAUCCGGAAUGACUGGGCGUAAAGGGUGCGUAGGUGGUUUAGUAAGUUAGCGGUGUAAUUCCGGGGCUCAACCUCGGCGCUACCGCCAAAACUAGUAGACUAGAGUGCAGGAGAGGUAGGUGGAAUUCCUGGUGUAGCGGUGGAAUGCGUAGAUAUUAGGAAGAACAUC
rnacentral:rRNA from 1 species